GAUGAACGCUGGCGGCGUGCCUAAUACAUGCAAGUCGAGCGAACAGACGAGGAGCUUGCUCCUCUGAUGUUAGCGGCGGACGGGUGAGUAACACGUGGAUAACCUACCUAUAAGACUGGGAUAACUUCGGGAAACCGGAGCUAAUACCGGAUAACAUGUUGAACCACAUGGUUCAACAGUGAAAGACGGUCUUGCUGUCACUUAUAGAUGGAUCCGCGCCGCAUUAGCUAGUUGGUAAGGUAACGGCUUACCAAGGCAACGAUGCGUAGCCGACCUGAGAGGGUGAUCGGCCACACUGGAACUGAGACACGGUCCAGACUCCUACGGGAGGCAGCAGUAGGGAAUCUUCCGCAAUGGGCGAAAGCCUGACGGAGCAACGCCGCGUGAGUGAAGAAGGUCUUCGGAUCGUAAAACUCUGUUAUUAGGGAAGAACAAAUGUGUAAGUAACUAUGCACGUCUUGACGGUACCUAAUCAGAAAGCCACGGCUAACUACGUG
rnacentral:rRNA from 1 species